GCGAACGACGGGGAAGCGGCGGGGGUAAUACGGAGGGUGCGGGCGUUGGCCGGAAUUAUGUGGCGGAAAGGGCAUGUAGGCGGUUUUGUAAGACUGGUGUGAAAUCCUGCAGCUUAACUGUAGAAUUGCAUUGGGUACUGCGAGACUUGAAUCACAGAGGGGAAACUAGAAUUCCAGGUGUAGGGGUGGAAUCUGUAGAUAUCUGGAAGAAUACCGGUGGCGAAGGCGGGUUUCUAGCUGAUGAUUGACGCUGAGGUGCGAAAGUGCGGGGAGCAAACAGGAUUAGAUACCCGAGUAGUC
rnacentral:rRNA from 1 species